rnacentral:misc_RNA from 1 species
GAUGAAGAACGUAGUGAAAUGCGAUACGUAAUGUGAAUUGCAGAAUUCAGUGAAUCAUAGAAUCUUUGAACGCAUAUUGCGCUCUCUGGUAUUCCGGAGAGCAUGCUUGUUUGAGUAUCAGUAAACACCUCAACUCCCCUUUCUUUUUUGAAAUGGGAGCUGGACUUGAGUGAUCCCAACGCUUUUCUCACCGAAAAGUGGCGGGUUACUUGAAAUGCAGGUGCAGCUGGACUUUUCUCUGAGCUAAAAGCAUAUCUAUUUAGUCUGCCUAAAAAACAGAUUAUUACCUUUGCUGCAGCUAACAUAAAGGAGAUUAGUUCUUGUGCUGACUGAUGCAGGAUUCACAGAGACAGCUUCGGCUGGCCUUUGUAAACUCGAUCUCAAAUCAAGUAUGACUACCCGCUGAACUUAAGCAUAUCAAUAAGCGGAGGA